rnacentral:rRNA from 1 species
GACGAACGCUGGCGGCGUGCCUAACACAUGCAAGUCGAGCGGAGUCAGUAAGAGGAAGUUUUCGGAUGGAAUCUUAUUGAUUUAGCGGCGGACGGGUGAGUAACGCGUGAGCGACCAACCUUGCACAGGGGGAUAACGGACCGAAAGGUUCACUAAUACCGCAUGAGACCACGGUGUUGCAUGACACAGAGGUCAAAGGAGCAAUCCGGUGCAAGACGGGCUCGCGUCCGAUUAGGUAGUUGGAGGGGUAACGGCCCACCAAGCCUAUGAUCGGUAGCCGACCUGAGAGGGUGAUCGGCCACAUUGGAACUGAGAUACGGUCCAAACUCCUACGGGAGGCAGCAGUGGGGAAUAUCGGGCAAUGGGGGAAACCCUGACCCAGCAACGCCGCGUGAAGGAAGAAGGUUUUCGGAUUGUAAACUUCUGUCCUUGGUGAAGAGAAGAAGACGGUAGCCAAGGAGGAAGCCCCGGCUAACUACGUGCCAGCAGCCGCAGUAACAC